rnacentral:rRNA from 1 species
GAUGAACGCUGGCGGCGUGCCUAAUACAUGCAAGUCGAACGAGGUGCUUGAGUAGCAAUACGAGAGUAUCCUAGUGGCGAACGGGUGAGUAACGCGUGGAUGACCUGCCCCAAAGUGUGGGAUAACAGUCCGAAAGGAUUGCUAAUACCUCAUGUGGUUAUCGGUUUUAGAAAGCGAUAACUAAAGCAGCAAUGCGCUUUGGGAGGGAUCUGCGUCCCAUCAGCUAGUUGGUGACGGUAACGGCUCACCAAGGCGACGACGGGUAGGGGACCUGAGAGGGUGGCCCCCCACAAUGGAACUGAAACACGGUCCAUANACCUACGGGUGGCAGCAGUAGGGAAUAUUGCUCAAUGGGCGAAAGCCUGAAGCAGCAACGUCCGCGUGUGCGAUGAAGGCC